rnacentral:misc_RNA from 1 species
GAAGCUGUCAAGUACAAGAGCUCACUCGAUGCAUUCUCUCAAAUCCUUAAGAAUGAAGGGGCCAAAUCACUUUUCAAGGGUGCUGGUGCAAACAUCCUCCGCGCAAUUGCUGGUGCUGGUGUUCUUGCUGGAUACGACAAGCUUCAGGUGAUUGUGUUUGGAAAGAAGUAUGGUUCGGGCGGUGCCUAAUUAAAAUGGCUGCUCUUCCUUCACCUUACCAAGCCAUAGAUGGUGAUGAGAAUUUUGCAAUUCUUAUUCAAGAAUUUAUUCAGGGUGAUUCUUUAUUCGUUGAAAUAAUGGAGUCUAUACUAGAGGGGUUAAAAUAUGUUGUUGGGUUUUCAGGAUUUUUGUUUCUGUAACAUUUCAUUGAUUUUGAUGGAAAAUUCUUGCUUAAAUCCGAACUUAAGUUCUAGACACAAACACAAAUAAAUAUGUAGAUUUAUAUAUUUAAUUUCAUAUAUUUUGUAUCUUGAACUCACAAUAAAUC